rnacentral:rRNA from 1 species
CCUACGGGAGGCAGCAGUGGGGGAUAUUGCACAAUGGGGGAAACCCUGAUGCAGCGACGCCGCGUGGAGGAAGAAGGUUUUCGGAUUGUAAACUCCUGUCGUUAGGGACGAAAAUUGACGGUACCUAACAAGAAAGCACCGGCUAACUACGUGCCAGCAGCCGCGGUAAAACGUAGGGUGCAAGCGUUGUCCGGAAUUACUGGGUGUAAAGGGAGCGCAGGCGGACCGGCAAGUUGGAAGUGAAAUCUAUGGGCUCAACCCAUAAAUUGCUUUCAAAACUGCUGGCCUUGAGUAGUGCAGAGGUAGGUGGAAUUCCCGGUGUAGCGGUGGAAUGCGUAGAUAUCGGGAGGAACACCAGUGGCGAAGGCGACCUACUGGGCACCAACUGACGCUGAGGCUCGAAAGCAUGGGUAGCAAACAGGAUUAGAUACCCUUGUAGU